GGGAGUCGGACCUGCCCGGUGACGUAAUGUUAAACGGCCGCGGUACCCUAACCGUGCUAAGGUAGCAUAAUCAUUUGCCUUUUAAUUGGAGGCUGGUAUGAAUGGUUUGACGAGAACUAAGCUGUCUCUUUUAGAAUAUUUAGAAUUUAAUUUUUAGGUGAAGAAGCCUAAAUUUGAUUGAGGGACAAGAAGACCCUGUUGAGCUUUAGUGAGGUAGUAUAUGAAUUUGUUAAAUUAAUUAUUAUAUUUUUAUAGUUUAAUUAUCCUAGUAAUCUUUAGUUGGGGCGACUGAGGAACAUGUAAAGCUUCCUUUAAGUUAUAGCGUAUGUGUUGGCGGGCUAAUGUAGAUCCAAUAUAUAUUGAUCAAAGGAAAAAGUUACCACAGGGAUAACAGCGUAAUCUUUCUGGAGAGAUCUUAUCGAAAGAAGGGUUUGCGACCUCGAUGUUGGACUAAGAUAUCCCAAGGGUGUAGAAGCUCUUGACGGUUGGUCUGUUCGACCAUUAAAAUCUUACGUG
rnacentral:rRNA from 1 species